CCUACGGGAGGCAGCAGUGAGGAAUAUUGGUCAAUGGGCGCGAGCCUGAACCAGCCAAGCAGCGUGAAGGAUGACUGCCCUACGGGUUGUAAACUUCUUUUAUAAAGGAAUAAAGUGAGGCACGUGUGCCUUUUUGUAUGUACUUUAUGAAUAAGGAUCGGCUAACUCCGUGCCAGCAGCCGCGGUAAUACGGAGGAUCCGAGCGUUGUCCGGAUUUAUUGGGUUUAAAGGGAGCGUAGAUGGGUUGUUAAGUCAGUUGUGAAAGUUUGCGGCUCAACCGUAGAAUUGCAAUUGAUACUGGCGGUCUUGAGUACAGUUGAGGUAGAAGGAAUGUGUGGUGUAGCGGUGAAAUGCAUAGAUAUCACACAGAACACCGAUUGCGAAGGCAGCUCACUAAACCGCGAUUGACGCUGAGGCACGAAAGCGUGGGUAUCAAACAGGAUUAGAUACCCCUGUAGUC
rnacentral:rRNA from 1 species